rnacentral:rRNA from 1 species
GAUGAACGCUGGCGGCGUGCCUAACACAUGCAAGUCGAGCGAGAAAUUGCUUAAUGAACCUUCGGGUGAUUUAAGCAAUGGACAGCGGCGGACGGGUGAGUAACGCGUGGGCAACCUGCCCUAUACAGGGGGAUAACAACGUGAAAACGUUGCUAAUACCGCAUAAGCGCACAGUAUUGCAUGAUACAGUGUGAAAAACUCCGGUAGUAUAGGAUGGGCCCGCGUCUGAUUAGCUAGUUGGUAGGGUAGAAGCCUACCAAGGCAACGAUCAGUAGCCGACCUGAGAGGGUGAUCGGCCACAUUGGGACUGAGACACGGCCCAAACUCCUACGGGAGGCAGCAGUGGGGAAUAUUGCACAAUGGGGGAAACCCUGAUGCAGCAACGCCGCGUGAAGGAAGACUGUUUUCGGAUUGUAAACUUCUAUCAGCAGGGAAGAAAAUGACGGUACCUGACUAAGAAGCCCCGGCUAACUACGUGCCAGCCGCCGCCGUAACAC